rnacentral:rRNA from 1 species
CUGCGCAGCUACACAUGCAGUCGACGGUAACAGGAAACAGCUUGCUGUUUCGCUGACGAGUGGCGGACGGGUGAGUAAUGUCUGGGAAACUGCCUGAUGGAGGGGGAUAACUACUGGAAACGGUAGCUAAUACCGCAUAACGUCGCAAGACCAAAGAGGGGGACCUUCGGGCCUCUUGCCAUCGGAUGUGCCCAGAUGGGAUUAGCUAGUAGGUGGGGUAACGGCUCACCUAGGCGACGAUCCCUAGCUGGUCUGAGAGGAUGACCAGCCACACUGGAACUGAGACACGGUCCAGACUCCUACGGGAGGCAGCAGUGGGGAAUAUUGCACAAUGGGCGCAAGCCUGAUGCAGCCAUGCCGCGUGUAUGAAGAAGGCCUUCGGGUUGUAAAGUACUUUCAGCGGGGAGGAAGGGAGUAAAGUUAAUACCCUUGCUCAUUGACGUUACCCGCAGAAGAAGCACCGGCUAACUCCGUGCCAGCAGCCGCGGUAAUACGGAGGGUGCAAGCGUUAAUCGGAAUUACUGGGCGUAAAGCGCACGCAGGCGGUUUGUUAAGUCAGAUGUGAAAUCCCCGGGCUCAACCUGGGAACUGCAUCUGAUACUGGCAAGCUUGAGUCUCGUAGAGGGGGGUAGAAUUCCAGGUGUAGCGGUGAAAUGCGUAGAGAUCUGGAGGAAUACCGGUGGCGAAGGCGGCCCCCUGGACGAAGACUGACGCUCAGGUGCGAAAGCAUGGGGAGCAAACAGGAUUAGAUACCCUGGUAGUCCACGCCGUAAACGAUGUCGACUUGGAGGUUGUGCCCUUGAGGCGUGGCUUCCGGAGCUAACGCGUUAAGUCGACCGCCUGGGGAGUACGGCCGCAAGGUUAAAACUCAAAUGAAUUGACGGGGGCCCGCACAAGCGGUGGAGCAUGUGGUUUAAUUCGAUGCAACGCGAAGAACCUUACCUGGUCUUGACAUCCACAGAACUUUCCAGAGAUGGAUUGGUGCCUUCGGGAACUGUGAGACAGGUGCUGCAUGGCUGUCGUCAGCUCGUGUUGUGAAAUGUUGGGUUAAGUCCCGCAACGAGCGCAACCCUUAUCCUUUGUUGCCAGCGGUCCGGCCGGGAACUCAAAGGAGACUGCCAGUGAUAAACUGGAGGAAGGUGGGGAUGACGUCAAGUCAUCAUGGCCCUUACGACCAGGGCUACACACGUGCUACAAUGGCGCAUACAAAGAGAAGCGACCUCGCGAGAGCAAGCGGACCUCAUAAAGUGCGUCGUAGUCCGGAUUGGAGUCUGCAACUCGACUCCAUGAAGUCGGAAUCGCUAGUAAUCGUGGAUCAGAAUGCCACGGUGAAUACGUUCCCGGGCCUUGUACACACCGCCCGUCACACCAUGGGAGUGGGUUGCAAAAGAAGUAGGUAGCUUAACCUUCGGGAGGGCGCUACCACUUUGAUGAUGG